rnacentral:rRNA from 1 species
GUGGGGAAUAUUGGACAAUGGGGGGAACCCUGAUCCAGCCAUGCCGCGUGUGUGAAGAAGGCCUUUUGGUUGUAAAGCACUUUAAGCGAGGAGGAGGCUACCGAGAUUAAUACUCUUGGAUAGUGGACGUUACUCGCAGAAUAAGCACCGGCUAACUCUGUGCCAGCAGCCGCGGUAAUACAGAGGGUGCGAGCGUUAAUCGGAUUUACUGGGCGUAAAGCGUGCGUAGGCGGCUUUUUAAGUCGGAUGUGAAAUCCCUGAGCUUAACUUAGGAAUUGCAUUCGAUACUGGGAAGCUAGAGUAUGGGAGAGGAUGGUAGAAUUCCAGGUGUAGCGGUUAAAUGCGUAGAGAUCUGGAGGAAUACCGAUGGCGAAGGCAGCCAUCUGGCCUAAUACUGACGCUGAGGUACGAAAGCAUGGGGAGCAAACAGGAUUAGAAACCCGGGUAGUCC